GACGAACGCUGGCGGCGUGCUUAACACAUGCAAGUCGAACGGAAAGGCCCUGCUUUUGUGGGGUGCUCGAGUGGCGAACGGGUGAGUAACACGUGAGUAACCUGCCCUUGACUUUGGGAUAACUUCAGGAAACUGGGGCUAAUACCGGAUAGGAGCUCCUGCUGCAUGGUGGGGGUUGGAGAGUUUCGGCGGUUGGGGAUGGACUCGCGGCUUAUCAGCUUGUUGGUGGGGUAGUGGCUUACCAAGGCUUUGACGGGUAGCCGGCCUGAGAGGGUGACCGGCCACAUUGGGACUGAGAUACGGCCCAGACUCCUACGGGAGGCAGCAGUGGGGAAUAUUGCACAGUGGGCGGAAGCCUGAUGCAGCAACGCCGCGUGCGGGAUGACGGCCUUCGGGUUGUAAACCGCUUUCGCCUGUGACGAAGCGUGAGUGACGGUAAUGGGUAAAGAAGCACCGGCUAACUACGUGCCAGCAGCCGCGGUGAUACGUAGGGUGCGAGCGUUGUCCGGAUUUAUUGGGCGUAAAGGGCUCGUAGGUGGUUGAUCGCGUCGGAAGUGUAAUCUUGGGGCUUAACCCUGAGCGUGCUUUCGAUACGGGUUGACUUGAGGAAGGUAGGGGAGAAUGGAAUUCCUGGUGGAGCGGUGGAAUGCGCAGAUAUCAGGAGGAACACCAGUGGCGAAGGCGGUUCUCUGGGCCUUUCCUGACGCUGAGGAGCGAAAGCGUGGGGAGCGAACAGGCUUAGAUACCCUGGUAGUCCACGCUGUAAACGGUGGGUACUAGGUGUGGGGUCCAUUCCACGGGUUCCGUGCCGUAGCUAACGCUUUAAGUACCCCGCCUGGGGAGUACGGCCGCAAGGCUAAAACUCAAAGGAAUUGACGGGGCCCCGCACAAGCGGCGGAGCAUGCGGAUUAAUUCGAUGCAACGCGUAGAACCUUACCUGGGUUUGACAUGGAUCGGGAGUGCUCAGAGAUGGGUGUGCCUCUUUUGGGGUCGGUUCACAGGUGGUGCAUGGCUGUCGUCAGCUCGUGUCGUGAGAUGUUGGGUUAAGUCCCGCAACGAGCGCAACCCUUGUUCACUGUUGCCAGCACGUUAUGGUGGGGACUCAGUGGAGACCGCCGGGGUCAACUCGGAGGAAGGUGGGGAUGACGUCAAGUCAUCAUGCCCCUUAUGUCCAGGGCUUCACGCAUGCUACAAUGGCUGGUACAGAGAGUGGCGAGCCUGUGAGGGUGAGCGAAUCUCGGAAAGCCGGUCUCAGUUCGGAUUGGGGUCUGCAACUCGACCUCAUGAAGUCGGAGUCGCUAGUAAUCGCAGAUCAGCAACGCUGCGGUGAAUACGUUCCCGGGGCU
rnacentral:rRNA from 1 species